CUUUAACCUAAUUACAUGCAGAACAAAACGAAAUUUGUGGGGCCCUACAAAAAAGGAUUGUCUGCGUGCCAAGUGUUUUGUGGCUUACCAAGACCUCAAGAAAGCAAGAAAGAAGGAAAAAACUUAUGUACAGCAUCUACUGUUAUCUAUACAAAUGUGUAACUGAGAAGGCAUCUAUUGUUUAAUAUUACAACUGAGAAGACUUAUGUACAUGCAUCUUUUGGUAUCAUAGUAGUGUUUUGUGGCUUACCAGGACCUCAGGAAAAAGAAGCAUUCUGCCAA